UCUGAUGCAGCGAUGCCGCGUGAGUGAAGAAGGCCCUUGGGUUGUAAAGCUCUUUCGUCGGGGAAGAAAAUGACUGUACCCGAAUAAGAAGGUCCGGCUAACUUCGUGCCAGCAGCCGCGGUAAUACGAAGGGACCUAGCGUAGUUCGGAAUUACUGGGCUUAAAGAGUUCGUAGGUGGUUGAAAAAGUUGGUGGUGAAAUCCCAGAGCUUAACUCUGGAACUGCCAUCAAAACUUUUCAGCUAGAGUAUGAUAGAGGAAAGCAGAAUUUCUAGUGUAGAGGUGAAAUUCGUAGAUAUUAGAAAGAAUACCAAUUGCGAAGGCAGCUUUCUGGAUCAUUACUGACACUGAGGAACGAAAGCAUGGGUAGCGAAGAGGAUUAGAUACCCUCGUAGUCCAUGCCGUAAACGAUGUGUGUUAGACGUUGGAAAUUUAUUUUCAGUGUCGCAGCGAAAGCGAUAAACACACCGCCUGGGGAGUACGACCGCAAGGUUAAAACUCAAAUGAAUUGACGGGGACCCGCACAAGUAGUGGAGCAUGUGGUUUAAUUCGAAGAUACGCGCAGAACCUUACCAACACUUGACAUGUUCGUCGCGACUUUAAGAGAUUAAAGUUUUCGGUUCGGCCGGACGAAACACAGGUGCUGCAUGGCUGUCGUCAGCUCGUGUCGUGAGAUGUUGGGUUAAGUCCCGCAACGAGCGCAACCCUCACUUUUAGUUGCCAUCAUUUAGUUGGGCACUCUGAAAGAACUGCCAGUGAUAAGCUGGAGGAAGGUGGGGAUGACGUCAAGUCCUCAUGGCCCUUACGUGUUGGG
rnacentral:rRNA from 1 species